GUGAGGAAUAUUGGUCAAUGGGCGGGAGCCUGAACCAGCCAAGUCGCGUGAAGGAAGAAGGAUCUAUGGUUCGUAAACUUCUUUUGCAGGGGAAUAAAGUGCAGGACGUGUCCUGUUUUGUAUGUACCCUGAGAAUAAGGAUCGGCUAACUCCGUGCCAGCAGCCGCGGUAAUACGGAGGAUCCGAGCGUUAUCCGGAUUUAUUGGGUUUAAAGGGUGCGUAGGUGGUUUGAUAAGUCAGCGGUGAAAGUUUGCAGCUUAACUGUAAAAAUGCCGUUGAAACUGUCGGACUUGAGUGUAAAUGAGGUAGGCGGAAUGCGUGGUGUAGCGGUGAAAUGCAGAGAUAUCACGCAGAACUCCGAUUGCGAAGGCAGCUUACUAAGCUACAACUGACACUGAAGCACGAAAGCGUGGGGAUCAAACAGGAUUAGAAACCCGGGUAGUCC
rnacentral:rRNA from 1 species